GGGGAAUCCGGUGCGAAGCCGGAGCUGACGCGCAGCGGUAUGGGACGGCGGAGCCGUCUCCGAGCCCGAAUGCCC
rnacentral:ncRNA from 1 species